rnacentral:rRNA from 1 species
GACGAACGCUGGCGGCGUGCUUAACACAUGCAAGUCGAACGGAAAGGCCCUGCUUUUGUUGGGUGUUCGAGUGGCGAAAGGGUGAGUAACACGUGUGUAACCUGCCUUUUAUUUUGGGAUAACUUCAGGAAACUGGGGCUACUACCGGUUAGGAGCUCCUGCUGCAUGGUGGGGGUUGGAAAGUUUCGGCGGUUGGGGAUGGAGUCGGGGCUUAUCAGCCUGGUGGUGGGGUUGUGGCUUACCAAGGCUGUGACGGGUAGCCGGCCUGAGAGGUUGACCGGAGACAUUGGGACUGAGAUACGGCCCAGACUCCGACGGGAGGCAGCAGUGGGGAAUAUUGCACAGUGGGCGGAAGCCUGAUGCAGCAACGCCGCGUUCGGGAUGACGGCCUUCGGGUUGUAAACCGCUUGCGCCUGUGACGAAGCGGGAGUGACGGUAAUGGGUAAAGAAGCACCGGCUAACUACGUG